rnacentral:rRNA from 1 species
AGAGAAUAGAUACCCUGGUAGUCCACGCCGUAAACGAUGAUGACUAGCUGUCGGGGCUCAUGGAGUUUCGGUGGCGCAGCUAACGCGUUAAGUCAUCCGCCUGGGGAGUACGGCCGCAAGGUUAAAACUCAAAGAAAUUGACGGGGGCCUGCACAAGCGGUGGAGCAUGUGGUUUAAUUCGAAGCAACGCGCAGAACCUUACCAGCGUUUGACAUGGUAGGACGGUUUCCAGAGAUGGAUUCCUUCCUUACGGGACCUACACACAGGUGCUGCAUGGCUGUCGUCAGCUCGUGUCGUGAGA